rnacentral:rRNA from 1 species
UAUUGCAGCUAAGCCCUCAGUUACGGCGAGUGAGGCGGCAAAAGCUCAAAUUUGAAAUCCCCCGGGAAUUGUAAUUUGAAGAGAUUUGGGUCCGGCCGGCGGGGGUUAAGUCCACUGGAAAGUGGCGCCACAGAGGGUGACAGCCCCGUGAACCCCUUCAACGCCCUCAUCCCAGAUCUCCAAUAGUCUAGUUGUUUGGGAAUGCAGCUCUCACUGGGUGGUAAAUUCCAUCUAAAGCUAAAUACCGGUCUAUAGACCGAUAUCGAACAAGUACAGUGAUGGAAAGAUGAAAAGCACUUUGAAAAGAGAGUGAAAAAGUACGUGAAAUUGUUGAAAGGGAAGGGCUUGCAAGCAGACACUUAACUGGGCCAGCAUCGGGGCGGCGGGAAACAAAACCACCGGGGAAUGUACCUUUCCAGGAUUAUAACCCCGGGCCAUAUUCCCUUGGAGCCCCUACGCCUGCAAUCUAAGGAUGCGGGGCUAAUGGUUGCGAUUCCCCUGUCUUGAAACAUGGAACAAACAAAAAACCCCCCCCGCCCCCCAGCACCCCCCCACAGUCGUUUCGAGGAGGUUUUUCUUUUUUUUUUUGUUGUUUUUUUUUUUGUUUAUUGUUUUUUUUUUUUUUUUUUUUUUGUUUUUUUUUUUGUUUUUGUUUUUUUUUUUGUCUUCUCUCUUUUUUUUUUGUUUUUUGGUUGCUUUGGGGGGGGGGUGUGGGGGGGUGUGGGGGGGGGUGUGGGUUUGGGGUGUGGUGGGGGGGUU